GCUGGCCUCCUCGGGGGCAUGUGCACGCCCGAGCUCUUAAUCCACUUACACCUGUGAACCCAAAAGUGGGGGUCGUCCCUUGGGGUGAUUCUCAUGUCUUUCAUAUACUCUUAUGCAUGUCUCGGAAUGUCUUUAUGUUGCCUAAGCGCAAUUAUAAUACAACUUUCAACAACGGAUCUCUUGGCUCUCGCAUCGAUGAAGAACGCAGCGAAAUGCGAUAAGUAAUGUGAAUUGCAGAUUUUCAGUGAAUCAUCGAAUCUUUGAACGCACCUUGCGCUCCUUGGUAUUCCGAGGAGCAUGCCUGUUUGAGUGUCAUUAAAUUCUCAACUUCACCGAUUUGCUUCGAGUGAAGCUUGGACUUUGGAGCGUGCUGGCCCUCGAUUGGGUCGGCUCCUCUUUAAAUGCAGCAGCGGAGUCUUCUUUGACUUUUGUGCCAUCGGUGUGAUAAUCAUGUUGCGCCGUGGGCCCUGGGUCUCAGUCCGCUUACAAUCGUCUUCGGACAGCUUAUGAAACG
rnacentral:rRNA from 1 species